GAGAAAGGAAAUGAGAAGGAAACUGAAUUACUUUUUUUUUUUUUCAAAUAUAGUUCUCGUUGGUCUGUUGCUUUGUUUGAAAAAGGAAAAAAAUAGCGUCUCAUUAUCUGAGUGUGAUUUUGUAUUUUUUUUCCUUUUUUUUUAUUCUCUAUAAUUAGAAUUUCCUUCAUUUUCUUAGCAACGAAACUGCUUCCUUAAGAUUUCAUUUAUUUCUCACAUGUAAAAAUUGAUUUUUGUUUAAUUAAAUUGAUUUCUAUCUGAAUGCAGUGAAAUUAAGCAAUAGUUGAUU
rnacentral:misc_RNA from 1 species